UACGUAGGGUGCGAGCGUUGUCCGGAAUUACUGGGCGUAAAGAGCUCGUAGGUGGUUUGUCGCGUUGUUCGUGAAAACUCACAGCUUAACUGUGGGCGUGCGGGCGAUACGGGCAGACUGUAGUACUGCAGGGGAGACUGGAAUUCCUGGUGUAGCGGUGGAAUGCGCAGAUAUCAGGAGGAACACCGGUGGCGAAGGCGGGUCUCUGGGCAGUAACUGACGCUGAGGUGCGAAAGCGUGGGGAGCAAACAGG
rnacentral:rRNA from 1 species